CGGCGAGCACUACACGACCAGCUCCCUCUGAAUCCCCCAGGGCAGAAAUGCAGCAAGGGUAGGAGGUUGUAGCGGUGCGAUGUAGCUGCUUGCCUUCU
rnacentral:SRP_RNA from 2 species